AGCGAGAAAGAGAGAGAGAGAGGGACAGACCAAACUUUGUGACGCUGCGGUUGCACCGAAACUCAUCCCUGCAUAUACCGGGACAAAGAGGAAAACUUCCCCACGACUGGCAUUGGGACAUUGGCCCCGGCCCUCAAUCUCAACCAUUUCUAACUGUGUGAAGAAAAGUGAAAAGAAGUUUUAAUGAACCAAUAUUCGCUAGCCGACGCCAUGACAGACAACUUGAGGAUUUUAUAAUUCUCUCCGGAGGAAGAGCGUCGCAUCUUGUAAGGAGCCACAGAGGAAACUUCACAGUUCCGAAGUUAUCAGAGUCUAAUAUGGGAUUUGGCGUGCUGGGAGUGUUCCUGGGGCUGCUCCUCGAGGUCUCCACCCAUGGACCCCAUGCUGUGCCUCGAACUUCCUGGAGACACCAAGAUUUAGAUCUGAUGGAGUUUUCAGAGCCUGGGAUCUUCAACUACUCCACUUUGUUGCUGAGUGAGAAAAAGGAUGCGCUGUAUGUGGGAGCCAGGGAGGCUGUCUUCGAACUCAGCAAGAAGAAUGUGACCAUCAGAAACAACAAGGUUCAGUGGACAGUGGCUGAGCUCCCCAUGAUGAUGUGCACGCUCAAAGGAAAAUCAAAAGAGAAGGAUUGCCUGAACUACAUUCGCGUGCUCCAAGUUGUAGACGACGAGCGUCUGUAUGUCUGUGGGACACACGCCUUUCAACCUCAAUGUGAUUACUUGAAUCUCGCUGACUUUUCACUGGUGGGUCGAGCUGAGGAUGGCAGAGGGAAGUGCUCCUUUGACCCCUCACAGAGCUUUACUACUGUCAUGGUUGAUGGAGAGCUGUACUCAGGGACAGCUUAUAACUUCUUAGGCAGUGAACCGAUUAUUUCUAGAUACUCACCUUCCCAGUCUCUGCUGAGGACAGAGUACUCCACAUCAUGGCUCAAUGAGCCCAGUUUUGUUUUUGCCGAUGUAAUCAGGGAAGGGAAAAACAGAGCAGAUGGAGAGGAUGACAAAAUCUACUACUUCUUCACCGAGGUGUCUGUGGAGUAUGAGUUCUUUGGCAAGCUGCUCAUUCCCAGGGUGGCACGCGUCUGUAAGGGUGAUCAUGGGGGGCAGCGGACACUGCAGAAAAAAUGGACUUCUUUCCUGAAAGCUAAGCUGGUCUGCUCCAUGCCUGAACUCAACUUUGUUUUCAACGUAGUACAUGAUGUCUUCAUCCUGAAGGGGGCAGACUGGAGAGACACAGUCAUCUAUGGUGUCUUCACCUCUCAGUGGGGUAAUGUAGGAUUGUCAGCAGUGUGUGCAUACAACAUGACAGCUGUGGAAGAGGUUUUCUCCAAAGGCAAGUACAUGCAAAAGGCCACAGUGGAGCAGUCCCACACCAAGUGGGUCCGGUACAAUGGCAUCACUCCUUCUCCACGUCCUGGAGCAUGUAUCAACAACCUCAUGAGGCAGCAGAAUAUUAGCAGCUCUCUGCACCUGCCAGACAAGACACUGCAGUUUGUUAAGGACCACCCCCUGCUGGAAGAUCCGGUCCUGCCCAUCGGCAACGGGCCUCGCCUCAUCACUAAAGACGUCAACUAUACACAAAUUGUUGUGGAGAGGGUCCGUGCGCUUGACAACAACAUUUAUGAUGUCAUUUUCACUGGAACAGAUAAGGGAGUUCUUCACAAGUCAGUGGUAUUUGAUGGAGAGGUUCAUAUUGUGGAGGAGAUCCAGCUCCUGAAGAAUGCUGAGCCCAUCAAGAACUUGCUGCUGUCAUCUGAGACACGAUCCCUGUAUGCUGGUUCAGACUCGAGUGUAGUCCAGUCACCCACAGCCUCCUGCGGCAGGUAUCUGUCCUGUGAUGACUGUGUGCUGGCACGAGACCCCUACUGCGCCUGGGACCCUCAAACUGCUGCCUGCGUCAAUAUCAUUGAUAUUCCCAGCCAAGAGCUCAGGAAACUGAUACAGAGCCUGAAUGGUGAUGCAGACAAGUGUCCUUCAGUGCCAGAUGUGUCUCUGAAGUACUACCAGCAUGUGAAAGUGAAACAGGGGAGCUCUGCUGAGUUGCCGUGCCUGAUAAACUCCAACCUUGCCCAGGUGAUGUGGAAAUUCAACAGCUCGGCACUCACUGAGGCCUCUCGCUUCCACCUCAUUGGCGAAAACGGUCUCCUUAUUUACAGCGUGGCUCCAGAGGAUCAAGGUCACUACGAAUGCUGGUCAGUGGAAUGGGCCCCCGCAGUGGGGAAAAACUUCAGCCGACUCCUGGCUGGAUAUGUCCUGACUCUGGAUCUCCCGCCUAGAUCCCCACACCAGACAGGCCACGUGACCACCCCCUUCGUCCACCAUGAGUCGUCUAGCUCACUUGCCUCUGAAGGUAAUAGUAACACAGAAAGAGCCCCACUAACUUCGGCCCUUGCCCCUCCCAGCUUCACAGCCACAGCCCUCUUCACCACUCCACCCCAAACUGAUGCUUCACUAACCCCGCCCCCAAGCAGCACAGUCAAGUCCCAGCCUAAGCUGUACCUCCCAAGCUCCAAUGCUCCCCGCCCAGAGAAUGUAGGGGAUCCAUCGGCUGAGUAUUUGCAGCACAACAACAGUACCGCCCUCCUCUUCCUCUUCCUACUGUUCUUCCUCCUCUUCCUGGCCGCACUGGCGUACAACUGCUACAUGCAGUAUCUUCCUGCUCCCUGCCUGCGGAUGCGAGCUGCUCUGCUGGGCAGUAACAAGAGCGCCCAUCAGCCUGAGUAUCGAGCCUGUGAAGCAGGUCUGAUGGAAACAUCUGCGACAGACAAAAUAAACAUGACAGAGCAACCAACCCAGAAUGGUAGCCAAACCACCCAAAAUGUGCGAGCGCUCCGUGACACCGGGUAUGAGACCGAGCCUGAGUGCGGCAAUGGUAGGAUCCCCUCUCACAGUUUUGGAGAUGACAGCCCAUCCCAGGAGAAACCCUUCGAUGUGGACUGUGAUUCUCAGCCCAUCCAGUUUGCAGAUGCAGAUGAAGCAUACUGAUACUGUUUUGUUUCUCUUGCAUAGAGACUGUUUAUAGGGGAGGGGGUCAAGAUCUUGCUUCAUCAUUGCAAAAUACAAGCGGUGUCCUCUACGUGAAAGUAUGUUCAGUGCGCAGCAUCUCGUGAAAUUUAAUCAUUACAAGACUUAAGUCAGGCAUCCCGCUUUCCUGUAGAGAUUGAACUACUACUGUCUCAUUUAAUGCAUAUGUGAGUUAUUCAUGGAAGCUACUCCCUCUCAGCUUAGUCCAGCGAAAAAAGCUAUUUCUUAAAUUCCAAAUUGGAAACACUGUUUACCAAAUUGGUAAGUUACUGUGAUGUUUUCCAAAUUGGAGUCGUGUUUUUUGUACAGCCUGGGUGGGAAAAUAAUCUGUUGAAGCUUUUGCAUCUUUUUUUUUAAGCAACGUGUAGGCUAUCUGACAUUGGGUAAAUUCUUCAACAUCAUAGUCAUUUCUCAGGGAAGAUUUGCUCAGUACUUUAUAGCCGAGCAUUGAUGUACAGCGUUGCCAUCUGUAGCACCUGGUGUGUGGGCCUUAAUCUCACCCAGUGAGGUGGCAACAUAGGGUUAAAAGAACAGAAAAAGAGACGACUUGCAUGAUAGAAAAAUGCUGGAAUAAAUGAAACCACUGUCUUCUGAAGAGUUGUCCUGAGUGAGAAUGUUUAGCUUUUCUGUAUUUUAAUUUUUCCCCCCUGUGAAGUCGACAUUCCUCCAUGGAUACAAGCUCAACUCUCAUGAUCCUGUGUAAUUAACCUCUACUAGUCAUCUAUCCUUAUGUGGUCUGUUAAUAACAUGAAUAUGUACAGUAUGACAUGAUGCUUGAUGAUAUCAUCAGUUAUUUCUCGAAAACUGGAAACAAUCUGAAGUUAUUUUUGUAUUUUUAAUGAAGCCUUUGGUUUUAGAACCUUUUUCAGAGAAUUAUUAUUUAAGAGGAGUCACAUCUGUGGUAAUAUCAUUUUGUCCAUUUGUGUUUAAUUUAUUGCAGCAGAUUUUGAUUUUAGAUGCUCAUUCGUUAGUCUCCCCCUCGUCUGUUUUGCAUGUCAUCCCGUGUGUAGUUUUCCUGUUUUCCUCAAUACUCUCUUUUUCCAUCACUCCCUCCCUCACAGCCUCCUCUCCUGUCGACACCUCAUCUUCACUGUCCUUCUCUGGAAGUAGCACUCCCUCUGCCUUCCCUUCCUCCUCCUCUUCCUCCUCCUCUUCUUCUACCUCCUCCUCUUCCUCUGCCAAGCCCCACAGUGUGGAGGCUCGAGAGGCAGAGGUGAGACUGUUGCCUCCCCUGCUGAAGGACCAGGCCUGGGGGAUUCAUGCCCAAGAGGCCUUUCUGCUCUUCUGCCUGGCCUUGGGUCCCAGUGAUGUCCACAUUCACUGGCUAAUAAAUGGGCACAGUCUGGACACCCCCAUAAUGGAGGAACGCCACCCGCUGGGUCAGAGCAAGGUACUCGUGAGCAGCUGGCUCCGAGAAGGGCCGCUAAUCAAGGACGCCCGUUACCACUGUGUCGCUGAGGCCAGCACAGGAAAUGACAUGUCUGAGGUCGACCUCCACCUCUCAAUCGGAGAUGAGGAGAGCAUUCCAUCCAGGGAUUUGAACCAAUGGAGAGGUGCGCUCACAGAGCAUGAGCAAUUGCUGAAAAGAUGGGAAAAGGCCUGGGAAAGCUGUGAUGGCCACCGAACUCUGUGAAGACGUCACAAGCUUCACUUGCGUCGGCUGAGCCUGGUUGUGAACAUCGUCCUCAGCCCGGGUGGACUGCACCUUUUGACACUGAAACAAUCAUAAACAGAUGGAAUAUGAUGUCCCAGUGUCACUUCUUACAUUGGAGUUUGAUGGACCGUGAAGCAAAGAAUGCACGACAACUGCCUUAUGCAGAGGCUCUGCUGGUUGUGAUGAUGGUUUGAUGGCGACUCCUUCCAAAACUCACAUGGAGAUGAGGCUCUUUGGUUGCCUCAGUCUGAAGACAUGUGGGCUACCUUUUUACCACAUUUCUAUUUUUUAUUGAUGAAAAUGAACAUCCUGAAAGCAGUGCUUGUAUGGAACAAUACAUCAUAAAGAAGGGUACACCUGGCUGUUCUGUAUUUGCAGCAUCUGUGACAGUUCAGGCCUGUUUACAGUGUGGUUUAUUUUUGCAAAUGCCACAGAGAUGUUUGCACCUUCACUGCCUUCCAAAGCCUCGAUAUGGUCCUUCACAGCUUCCUUGCAGUUUGACAUUUUCACUAGAGAUUAUAGCAUCUUUAAUCCUUACUGGACAUUUCUUUUUUCUUCCAGAGCCCGAGCUUCUCUUCAGUAGGCUACUGUGGGUCUUUUCAAUCACAGUAUACUUAUGUUUGACAUUAAGCAAGAUUAUAUAAUCAAAAGAUAAAAAACACCAGCAUUCAAAUGUGGAAUUCAAUCCAAGGACAGCAUAGGUUGUUACAGACCUUCUUGCUUUUUGUCUGCAGUUACAUUUUUCUUCAUGUUUAAACUGUGGCUAUGUGCCUUUUGAAGCAGAAAUAAAUGGAGUUUGU